rnacentral:lncRNA from 1 species
AAUAUCAUUUCUAUCUAAAGUCUAUACAAUCACAUGUAUACAUCCAUAUAUAUCCAUAUAGUUAUUAUUUCUCUCUGUAGUCCAUACAAACAUCGAUACAUAACCAAACACAUUAAGGCAUUGAAUAAGAAUUGCCAACAAUCCAUAUAAUUAUCUGGACACAUUCAUACACAUUCACAUAAUUAUCAUUUUUAUCUAUAAUCCAUACA